GUUGAGGUAGUGACGGGCUGUGUAGGGUUGAGGUAGUGACGGGCUGCGUAGGGUUGAGGUAGUGACGGGCUGUCUUGGCUUGAGGUAGUGACGGGCUGUGUAGGGUUGAGGUAGUGACGGGCUGGGUAGGGUUGAGGUAGUGACUGGCUGUGUAGGGUUGAGGUAGUGACGGGCUGUGUAGGUUUGAGGUAGUGAUGGGCUGUGUAGGGUUGAGGUAGUGACGGGCUGUGUAGGGUUGAGGUAGUGACGGGCUGUAUAGGGUUGAGGUUGUGACGGGCUGUGUAGGGUUGAGGUAGUGACGGGCUGUGUAGGGUUGAGGUUGUGACAGGCUGUAUAGGGUUGAGCUUGUGACGGGCUGUGUAGGGUUGAGGUAGUGACGGGCUGUAUAGGGUUGAGGUAGUGACGGGCUGUGUAGGGUUGUGGUUGGGACGGGCUGUAUAGGGUUGAGGUGGUGACGGGCUGUAUAGGGUUGAGGUAGUGACGGGCUGUAUAGGGUUGAGGUAGUGACGGGCUGUGUAGGGUUGAGGUUGGGACGGGCUGUAUAGGGUUGAGGUGGUGACGGGCUGUAUAGGGUUGAGGUAGUGACGGGCUGUAUAGGGUUGAGGUUGUGACGGGCUGUAUAGAGUUGAGGUUGUGACGGGCUGUGUAGGGUUGAGGUAGUGACGGGCUGUGUAGGGUUGAGGUAGUGACGGGCUGUCUAGGGUUGAGGUAGUGACGGGCUGUAUAGGGUUGAGGUAGUGACGGGCUGUAUAGGGUUGAGGUUGAGUGACAGGCUGUGUAGGGUUGAGGUAGUGAUGGGCUGUGUAGGGUUGAGGUUGUGACGGGCUGUCUUGGGUUGAGGUAGUGACGGGCUGUGUAGAUUUGAGGUAGUGACGGGCUGUAUAGGGUUGAGCUUGUGACGGGCUGUGUAGGGUUGAGGUAGUGACGGGCUGUAUAGGGUUGAGGUAGUGACGGGCUGUGUAGGGUUGAGGUAGUGACGGGCUGUAUAGGGUUGAGGUUGUGACGGGCUGUGUAGGGUUGAGGUAGUGACGGGCUGUGUAGGGUUGAGGUAGUGACGGGCUGUAUAGGGUUGAGGUAGUGACGGGCUGUGUAAGGUUGUGGUUGUGACGGGCUGUGUAGGGUUGAGGUGGUGACGGGCUGUGUAGGGUUGAGGUAGUGACGGGCUGU
ensembl:lncRNA